GGGGAUGACGUCAAAUCAUCAUGCCCCUUAUGACCUGGGCUACACACGUACUACAAUGGGAGUUAAUAGACGGAAGCGAAACCGCGAGGUGGAGCAAACCCGAGAAACACUCUCUCAGUUCGGAUCGUAGGCUGCAACUCGCCUACGUGAAGUCGGAAUCGCUAGUAAUCGCAGGUCAGCAUACUGCGGUGAAUACGUUCCCGGGCCUUGUACACACCGCCCGUCACACCACGAAAGUCGGAAGUGCCCAAAGCCGGUGGGGUAACCUUCGGGAGCCAGC
rnacentral:rRNA from 1 species